rnacentral:rRNA from 1 species
GGCUAUAAGAAAUAUUCUCCCCUGAACGUGCCCGAUCUUGUCUGAUCUUGGAAGCUAGGCAGGGUCAGGCCUGGUUAGUACUUCAAUGGGAGACCUCCUGGGAAUACCAGGUGCUGUAGGCU